rnacentral:rRNA from 1 species
UAAGGAAUAUUGGUCAAUGGACGCAAGUCUGAACCAGCCAUGCCGCGUGAAGGAUGAAGGUCCUCUGGAUUGUAAACUUCUUCUAUCUGGGACGAAAACGGGAUUUUUAUCUCAAUUGACGGUACCAGAGGAAUAAGCACCGGCUAACUCCGUGCCAGCAGCCGCGGUAAUACGUAGGCAGCAAGCGUUGUUCGGAGUUACUGGGCGUAAAGAGUGCGUAGGCGGUUUUCUAAGUUCGGUGUGAAAUCUCCCGGCUUAACUGGGAGGGUGCGCCGAAGACUGGGAAGCUGGAGUGUGGGAAAGGCAGGCGGAAUUCCUGGUGUAGCGGUGAAAUGCGUAGAUAUCAGGAGGAACACCGGCGGUGUAGACGGCUUGCUAGACCAUAACUGACGCUGAGGCACGAAAGCGUGGGUAGCAAACA